rnacentral:rRNA from 1 species
AAUCCAUAGGUUAAUGAGGCGAACCGGGGGAACUGAAACAUCUAAGUACCCCGAGGAAAAGAAAUCAACCGAGAUUCCCCCAGUAGCGGCGAGCGAACGGGGAGGAGCCCAGAGCCUGAAUCAGCAUGUGUGUUAGUGGAAGCGUCUGGAAAGGCGCGCGAUACAGGGUGACAGCCCCGUACACAAAAGCGCAUGUGCUGUGAGCUCGAUGAGUAGGGCGGGACACGUGGUAUCCUGUCUGAAUAUGGGGGGACCAUCCUCCAAGGCUAAAUACUCCUGACUGACCGAUAGUGAACCAGUACCGUGAGGGAAAGGCGAAAAGAACCCCGGCGAGGGGAGUGAAAAAGAACCUGAAACCGUGUACGUACAAGCAGUGGGAGCACCCUUUGGGGUGUGACUGCGUACC